GUGGGUUGCCAUUUCCUACUCCAAGGGAUCUUCCCAACCCAGGGAUUGAACCCAGGUCUCCUGCAUUUCAGCCAUGAAAGGACUUGGACAGACCACCCUGACUUUUGGAGAGAAAACAACAUCUGAGCGAGUGAGUGCUGCCUAAAGAAUUCUUCCCCACUAAGCAGAAGCCCCAAGGUACUUCCUGAAUCCCACCAGCCAAUGGGCCCCCAAAAGAUAGCAGCUCAUGGUCUACUCUACAAGGUGUGAGACAUUUCUAUCUUGACCACAUUCAGUCCAAAGGCCCUCACUAUGCAUGGAAGAAACAAAACGAUAUAAAACAGUUCUUAUUCCUAGGAGCAGACAACUUACUUGGGGAAAACUCAUGAAUCAGAUCACAAGGAGGUAAUGGCUUGACGAUUUUCAGCUUCAACCCAGUAAUCAAGGAACUACCCUUCCUCUUACACUAGGGGGUGCGUGAGGACUAAGAUUCAGAAUCUUCUCGGCCAUCUUCUCCACAGUGAUUUGUGUCAGCUACUGCCCCCUUUCUUCAGAACUGGUUUUCCAGUGUCAUGACUUGGAAGAGGGAAAAGAAUUCCCGGAAACCUCCCCUACCUCACAAACCAGGCAUGUCCUCCACCGGGUUGCUCUGCCCUCUUCACCACGGGACAGGCACACCCUGACCUACCCACAGGGCGCAGCAUUUCUGGGGCAUCCUGCCCAGAACUGGGGACCCACAGAAGAAAAGAGAAGCACUGCUUUAAACACAGGACAGGUCAGAAGACUAUAGCACAUACUGCUACUUUCUUGUCUGAGUUUCUUGUUAUAUAUGGUUAUGCAGUCUUGAGGGUUUCUGACACACAUCUUCCUCUCUUCAGAGUCCCAGGUUUCAAAUGUUUCAGAAAAUCACG
ensembl:lncRNA